CUGGUCGGAAUAUCGCCAAUCCACAACAUGGCCUGUUCCGGCAAAAAAAGGAGGAUAUAUCAACCCCGCAGGACUUGCGGUGCGGCACAGUGGAGACGUGUCGUAAUGCGGCAGCCAAGCCCGGCCGCCGUGAGAGAGCGCAUUGCGGAGGCAGCGCUGUCAGAGUCAGAAAAUUAUGGCA
rnacentral:ncRNA from 1 species